GAUGAACGCUGGCGGCGUGCCUAACACAUGCAAGUCGAGCGAAGCACUUUGAUUGGAUUCUUCGGAUGAAGAUGAUUGUGACUGAGCGGCGGACGGGUGAGUAACGCGUGGGCAACCUGCCUUACACAGGGGGAUAACAGUUAGAAAUGACUGCUAAUACCGCAUAAGACCGCGGAACCGCAUGGUUCUGAGGUAAAAACUCCGGUGGUGUAAGAUGGGCCCGCGUCUGAUUAGGUAGUUGGUGAGGUAACGGCUCACCAAGCCGACGAUCAGUAGCCGACCUGAGAGGGUGACCGGCCACAUUGGGACUGAGACACGGCCCAGACUCCUACGGGAGGCAGCAGUGGGGAAUAUUGCACAAUGGGGGAAACCCUGAUGCAGCGACGCCGCGUGAGCGAUGAAGUAUUUCGGUAUGUAAAGCUCUAUCAGCAGGGAAGAAAAUGACGG
rnacentral:rRNA from 1 species